rnacentral:rRNA from 1 species
UAAAACUCAAAGGAAUAGACGGGGACUCGCACAAGCGGUGGAGCAUGAGGUUUAAUUCGAUAGUAAGCGAGGAACCUUACCAGGGCUUGAAAUUCUAACGAAUCUCGUUGAAAGGCGGGAGUCUUUUUAAAGACGUUAGGACAGGUGCUGCAUGGUUGUCGUCAGCUCGUACUUUGAAGCGUUCCCUUAAGUGGGGUAACGAGCGCAACCUCUAUUGUCUGUUAUAAGUGUCAGGCAAGACCGCCCCGCCCCAAGAUUGGAAUUACGAAGCAUGAAUUAUGAAUUAUGGAAACGUACGAAAUAUUAAUUUUGUCAAAAAGAAAGUAGGUCCAUUAUUUAUUAUUCUUAAUUCAUAAUUCUCGUUUUUGGGCGGGGAGGAAGGUGGGGAUGACGUCAAAUCCGCAUGGCCCUCUGAUGCCCUGGGCUACACUCAUGCUACAAUGGCCGGUACAAUGGGUUGCCAAAGCGUAAGCUGGAGCUAAUCCCAUCAAAGCCGGUCUCAGUUCGGAUUGAGGGCUGAAACUCGCCCUCAUGAAGCUGGAAUCGCUAGUAAUCGCGCAUCAGCCACGGCGCGGUGAAUACGUUCUCGAGUCCUGUACUCACUGCCCGUCACUGCAGGGGAGCCGGGAGUAGGCGAACUCUGACUUUAGUUGGAGCAGUCUAAGCUUGGUAACAUGGCAGAAGUCGUAACAAGGCACGCGUAGCGGAAGCUGUGCGUGGAACA